UACGUAGGGGGCAAGCGUUGUCCGGAAUCAUUGGGCGUAAAGCGCGUGUAGGCGGCCAGAAAAGUCCGCUGUGAAAACUCGAGGCUCAACCUCGAGCUGUCGGUGGAAACUUCUGGCUAGAGUCCGGAAGAGGAGAUGGAAUUCCUGGUGUAGCGGUGAAAUGCGCAGAUAUCAGGAAGAACACCCGUGGCGAAGGCGGUCUCUGGGACGGUACUGACGCUGAGACGCGAAAGCGUGGGGAGCGAACAGG
rnacentral:rRNA from 1 species